CACCUACGGGAGGCAGCAGUAGGGAAUCUUCCACAAUGGACGAAAGUCUGAUGGAGCAACGCCGCGUGAGUGAAGAAGGGUUUCGGCUCGUAAAGCUCUGUUGGUAGUGAAGAAAGAUAGAGGUAGUAACUGGCCUUUAUUUGACGGUAAUUACUUAGAAAGUCACGGCUAACUACGUGCCAGCAGCCGCGGUAAUACGGAGGUGGCAAGCGUUGUCCGGAUUUAUUGGGCGUAAAGCGAGUGCAGGCGGUUCCAUAAAUAUGAUGUGAAAAGCCUUGGGCCAAAC
rnacentral:rRNA from 1 species